AAGAGAGUUUGGUUUUAGAUAGGAGAUAAGAGUCUGAACUCCCUUGGACUUUAGAAUUAUUAUGCCACCCAUUCUUUCUUAUUUUUGCACCCUCAUAUCUCAUGGUAAUAGGAGAUGGUGUGAACUCCUUUCACGCACAAAACCUCAUGCAAAAGAGGGAAAACUAGGUGCUAAUGAAAGUGGGGUGUGGGGCAAGUUUAUGACGCAUG
rnacentral:lncRNA from 1 species